GUAAACCUUGGAAUAUACUUCUCUGUUUUGCAAAGUUUUGUGAUGGGAUACUACUUGAAGCACUUAGACUAGACGAGAGUAUGGAGAUUAAUUUACCAGCUUGAACAUGAUCUAACUCAAAGAAGAAAUGCUUCUGACCAUAAUAGUUAUCCUUAAUUACUGGUUUAAACUGAUUUUCUAGCAGCGGUUGACAGAGCAGACGUACACGUAUUUGAACCUGUGCAGGAUAAGGAGUUCGGAUAGAACCAUCUGACGACCAAGCAUAUUGAUCGAUAUACAUUUGACCAGGGCCUGCAGCUUCAUAGACACCGUAUAGCUUUCUAUCACUGUAGUUGAACAAAAAUAAUGGCAAGCCUGAAUCUACAUUCUGCACAUAUGAAAAAUGUAGACUUGGCAAACCAAAUAGUUGUUUUGCGAGACAUUCUUU
rnacentral:misc_RNA from 1 species